rnacentral:lncRNA from 1 species
GGUUUUAGGAAUCAUCAAGCCUAUUUUUAAUUCUAAGAAUGUCGUUUUAGUGAUUGUCACUAUUAUCUAAUAUUUUUAUGAUAUCAUUGUGAAUGAUGUCAAAAUUAUGUGGACAACUGAGAAAUGACAUUUAUGAAUAAUCACAGUCUGUUAGUGUAUAGUACACAACAAUCAAACUCCUAAAGUAAAUUAUAUCCUAAAAGCUUACCUUAGGAGUUU